rnacentral:miRNA from 1 species
GGUAUUUUCCACGAAGUCUUAGG